rnacentral:rRNA from 1 species
UCUAACCUGCCCAAUGAUUAUUUAAAUGGCCGCAGUAUUUUGACUGUGCAAAGGUAGCAUAAUUAUUAGUUUUUUAAUUGGAAGCUUGUAUGAAAGGUUGGACGAGAUAAUAACUGUCUCUAUUUAAUUAUUAUAGAAUUUAACUUUUAAGUCAAAAGGCUUAAAUUUAAUUAAAAGACAAGAAGACCCUAUAGAUCUUUAUUUGUGAGCUAAUUUAUUAAAUUAGGAUUAAUUUAAGUUAGGUUAGGGUACGAAUUUUAUUGGGGUAAUAUGGAGAUUAAUUAAAUUCUUUAUUAUAAUAACAUUAAUUUAUGAUUAAUUGAUCCAAUUUUAUUGAUUAUAAGAUUAAGUUACCUUAGGGAUAACAGCGUAAUUUUUUUGGAGAGUUCUUAUCGAUAAAAAAGUUUGCGACCUCGAUGUUGGAUUAAAAAUUAUUUUGGGUGAAGAAGUUCAAAAGUUAAGUCUGUUCGANNNUUAAAUUUUUACAUGAUCUGAGUUCAAACCGGUGUAAGCCAGGUCGGUUUCUAUCUUUAGUUGAUUUAAAUAUUUUAGUACGAAAGGACCAAAUAUUGUAUAUAUUUAUAUUUUGUUUUUUGAGUUUAAUUAUUAUCUUGGCAGAUGAAGUGCAGUAAAUUUAGAAUUUAUAAAUGUAGCUAUAAGUUACAGAUAAUACUUGUUUUUAGGUGUUUAAUUAUUAGUUUUUUGGUGUUUAUUAAUUUUGUUAAUUUGUGUUUUAGUAGGCGUUGCAUUUUUAACAUUAUUGGAACGUAAGGUUUUAGGGUAUAUUCAAAUUCGGAAGGGCCCUAAUAAGGUA